rnacentral:rRNA from 1 species
UUAGAGUUUGAUCAUGGCUCAGAGCGAACGCUGGCGGCAGGCUUAACACAUGCAAGUCGAGCGGGCGUAGCAAUACGUCAGCGGCAGACGGGUGAGUAACGCGUGGGAACGUACCUUUUGGUUCGGAACAACCCAGGGAAACUUGGGCUAAUACCGGAUAAGCCCUUACGGGGAAAGAUUUAUCGCCGAAAGAUCGGCCCGCGUCUGAUUAGCUAGUUGGUGAGGUAAUGGCUCACCAAGGCGACGAUCAGUAGCUGGUCUGAGAGGAUGAUCAGCCACAUUGGGACUGAGACACGGCCCAAACUCCUACGGGAGGCAGCAGUGGGGAAUAUUGGACAAUGGGGGCAACCCUGAUCCAGCCAUGCCGCGUGAGUGAUGAAGGCCCUAGGGUUGUAAAGCUCUUUUGUGCGGGAAGAUAAUGACGGUACCGCAAGAAUAAGCCCCGGCUAACUUCGUGCCAGCAGCCGCGGUAAUACGAAGGGGGCUAGCGUUGCUCGGAAUCACUGGGCGUAAAGGGUGCGUAGGCGGGUCUUUAAGUCAGGGGUGAAAUCCUGGAGCUCAACUCCAGAACUGCCUUUGAUACUGAAGAUCUUGAGUCCGGGAGAGGUGAGUGGAACUGCGAGUGUAGAGGUGAAAUUCGUAGAUAUUCGCAAGAACACCAGUGGCGAAGGCGGCUCACUGGCCCGGUACUGACGCUGANGCACGAAAGCGUGGGGAGCAAACAGGAUUAGAUACCCUGGUAGUCC